UGGUGUUGUUGGAGAAGAUUUUAUUCCAAAAUAAAAUUUGGAGUCAAAAAUAGAGUAAGGUUGUAGAUGCCCUUAGUCUACUGUUUGGUUUGGCAUUUUGGCCUUAGUCCAAUUGCCUGUAAAAACCAGAUUGGUGACUUCAACCAAAAACGGGUUAGUGAAUCCAUGCCUUAUGCAAGUUACCAUUUGUUGUCCAAGUGUGAGCUAUCCUUAAAAAUUGUCGAUUAUAUUUAACAAAUCAUGGACCUGUGGUGCUGGGCUGGGCCGGACCAAAUCAAAGUCCUACUGAAUAAAAUGAUGAUAACAAGGAUUGGCGUGUUCAAAAAAAAAAAAAAACGCAUUGCUGAAUCUAAUCCGACGGCGUUCAAUAGCUAUCCACCAUUACUUUUGUAUGAUGUGGAGCUUUCAUUUAUGAUGCAUCGUUGUUAAGAAAUACUAUUUGACAUCCAAAAAUGCACCACAGUUAAGUUAUUACUUCAAACUUACGGUUUUAUGCAUGAAUCCAAUAUUAACUCUCUCAUGUUAAAUAAGGUUUUGAUGAUUUUGACUUCGAGUGAUUACCUGCAAGCUUGAUAAUCUAGAUGACCAAGUUAAUCUAUUUUUUUAAAAAGAAUUUUAAAUUUAUUCACUUCAAAAAACUUUUGUAGAAUCUAAUGUUAUUUAUGAGUUGAAAAGAAAAAGCUUAAAUGGAUAAAAUAUAAGAAAGAAUGAAAAAAUCAUCCGCUUCUAAACCAUAUCUUCAUAGCCUUCUCAUGCUUGAUUCCCACUUUCCUUCUCUUAUCUCUUCUUUUAUAUUAUGGUUGGACAUUUGUGUGUUCGGUUCAUAUAUUAACUCUCACGUGUUAAAUAAGGUUUUGAUGAUUUUGACUUCGAGUGAUUACCUGCAAGCUCGAUAAUCUAGAUGACCAAGUUAAUCUAUCGUUAUCUCUUCUUUUAUAUUAUGGUUGGACAUUUGUAGGUUCAUACCUAAAAUUAGUAUUGACUUAUUUAUUAUUGAUUUAAAUCAAUUCAUAAUGAUGUGAAUUUAAAAUAAUAUGCAUCUAUUUAAUCAGGAAAAAAAAUCAAAUUAAUAACAAUAAGUUGUGUUAUUGCACAGGGGGUUAUUUUUGAAAUAACAAAAAAGUAAUUAGAGUUUUAGUAAGAGGAUAGAGAGUGAUAGGAAGAAAAUGAGAAGAUAGGGUGUGUUUUAGUUAGAUAGUAAAUUUGAAAUUUUUUAAUGAAUAUAGAGAUAAAUUUUCCUACUGCAUAUUAGUCUGCCA
rnacentral:lncRNA from 1 species